rnacentral:lncRNA from 1 species
GACUGCUGUAACUAAGUGAAUUAGUUCGAUCUAUCUAUCUAUCUAUUUAUAAGUCAAUUUCUGUUCCUGUUGAUUGAAUUUAUAUGGAGCAAGUGUGGGCAAAAUGCUGUCACUGAAGAUAUAACUAAUGAAAACCAAUUGGUGCAUUUAUUAUGCAGUACUAGUACUUAAAUGAGAAAGAGGAACAAUAACAGAGUAAAUUUAAUAUUAAUAGUUAUGGCUUUGAUUUAAAUAUUGAUAACAAGGUGUCUAAUUUUCUGGAUAACCUAAAUGGGUGUAGUAAUUUUCAACACUUCUUGUUUAUACAGACUCACAGAACUCUCCAAAAUGGAAGACAACUGGAGAUAACCUGGUGUAAUGUCAUGCUCAAGGGAGGGCUAAUGUGGAUCAUGUUGCUCAGGCUCAUGUCCAGUUGGGUUUCAUCAGGGAUGGAAACAUUCUCUGUGAGUAUUGUCAAAAUAGAUAUUGGAGGCAUUUGCUUUCACUUCUUAUUGACUCUACUCCUACAAUUAUAUGAGUUUUAAAAAGUGAAGAUGUCUAUCUUUGCUCGAGUGGAGUACAAUUAGGAAUGCCAUGCAGAAUUCAAGAAGAAGAAGCAGCUGAAAACCAGGCAGGACAUCCUGGUCAGUUGUCCUGAGGACCUUCUUAGGAAUGCCUGAGCAUCCAUCCAUAUGUUGUAUACUUUCCUUGCAUAUAUGCUUCUGCGUUUGGUUGUAAACUAUUAGAGUCAUGUGUUGCUGUUUAUGUCAUGUAUUAUGCCUCUAAUCCAGACUCAUACUUCUUACUAACUCUUCUACAGGAUAAAACAGUGUUAGUGAUGGAGCCAGAGCAUUACCUCAUUUUGUUGACGCUGCAUUCAGGUUGCCUGGGGCUUUCCAGUGGCCUACCUGCAAAAUAUUGAGGAGAUGCAGCUUCACAGGUACGUUAAACAUAAAGGCAGAGUCUUUGGCAACGUUUGUGAGCACUGUUACAUGAAUAUCCUUUUCCUGUACUUGUGUAAAGUGUUCACUGUUUGCUUAAUGAAUCUUAGGCC